rfam:Arabis alpina cultivar Pajares Aa.chr5_contig_523, whole genome shotgun sequence.
AGCAAUGAUGAAUAAUGCUUAAUAUUUCUGACACCUCUUGUAUGAGAAGAGCUUGCUAAACUCUUCGUUGAGCAUAUUAUGCAAAUCUCUGAGCC